UAGGGAAUAUUGGGCAAUGGAGGGAACUCUGACCCAGCCAUGCCGCGUGCAGGAUGAAGGCGUUAUGCGUUGUAAACUGCUUUUUAUAUAGGAAGAAAUAGUCCUUGCGAGGAAAGUUGACGGUACUAUAUGAAUAAGCACCGGCUAACUCCGUGCCAGCAGCCGCGGUAAUACGGAGGGUGCAAGCGUUGUCCGGAUUUAUUGGGUUUAAAGGGUGCGUAGGCGGUUUAUUAAGUCAGUGGUGAAAGACGGUCACUCAACGAUUGCAGUGCCAUUGAUACUGGUAGACUUGAGUAUGAUUGAGGUAGCUGGAAUGGAUAGUGUAGCGGUGAAAUGCAUAGAUAUUAUCCAGAACACCAAUUGCGUAGGCAAGUUACUAAGUCAUAACUGACGCUGAGGCACGAAAGUGUGGGUAUCAAACAGGAUUAGAUACCCUAGUAGUCCCUGAGCGGGCUGGCAAGGCGCAU
rnacentral:rRNA from 1 species